rnacentral:lncRNA from 1 species
AUUUCUGGACCUUUUAAGUAAAAAGCUCAUUUUAGGUCCUACGUUGGUCCAUGUUUUAUUCAAACAAAUUAUAGACGAGAGAUAGACUUUCUUGAAUGACAGGAAGAACAUGAUUCACAGUGUCGACUAGAGAGGUAGAUCCAGUUGCUUUGCAAUAAGUGUGAAUAUUGCUGAGAUAUGGGGGCUAAAAGUAGGUUAGCAAACUGUUGAUGUCUUUUUAUCUUCUCUUUCUACAGUUGGUGCAUAAUCAUCAUCAUCUCUGUGUUUCUGCUGUAUAUCACAGGUGCUUUCUCUGCUCCUGUGAGGGUCACAGUUAAAGGUUUUGUUGGAGACUCUGCGAUCUUGUCUUGUUCGAUCACUGAAAGUGAGAUUCAAGACAAAAUAGAAGAAUUCAACGUACACUUCAGAGACGAUGAAGGCAAGAAAGUGUGUGACAUCAUUGGAGGUAGCAUAGCUGAAGACCAAGAGCCAAAGUACAAGGACAGAGUCGAAACGUUCCCAGAGGAGUAUAAGAAGGGCAACUUCUCCAUCAAACUCAGCAGUCUUCAGCAAACUGAUGCAAGGAAGUACCGCUGUAGCAUCACAAGGGACAUUACAUCACACGACACAUUUCAGAAAGAGGUCAUCACAGAGCUUCAUGUCAAAGAUAAACCAGAAGGAAAAGGAAACCAUGGAGAACCAUCAUUGAUUGUGUUGUUGAUCAGUUUUCUUUUCACUCACAUUCUGCCGUUUAUCUGAACAAUUAUUUGUUUAGUUUUUUAAGUGUUGCAGGGUUGAGUUUAGAUCUGCUCAAUCAGCCAAAGUACAUUUUCAAGUAUCUUUACAUUAAGAAUUGUCAUUGUGGGUAAAUUUUACGA